rnacentral:lncRNA from 1 species
CGGGAAGGAAGGGGAGGGAGAGGCAGCAGCUCCAUAUUAAUGGGUUCCUUAAAGAGCAGCCUGGCACAGGUGGGAAAGUGUCAGUACAUCUAAUUGUUGCUCAUAGGUAAACAGCUCCAGAUCUCUGAUGAACCUUUCUACCCUUUCCUGAAACUCUUCUAUUCCAAGACCAACUUUUUGAGAUGAUAGCACUGAUGUGCAAGCACGCCACAAGUUCUACAAGGCUAUUGUGUCUGGAGCUAAGAUCCAGGUCUCAUCCCAAGGACUACUCAAGAAUCACAGUGGUGGGAAUUAAGCUCAGGGUGUUCCUUAUCCCAUCACAGCUGGAUGAGUUCUAUCUUCCAGCUAUUCCUUUGACGUUCUGUUCCAUAAGUGAAGUUGAAGGGAAGAAAUUCAGUCCCCUCCUUCUGUCUGACUCAUCAUGGUGGAGAAGUUCUGACAUCAGAGUCCAGCCCCCCGGAAACGAAGCGCUGUCGCAGAUGCAGUCUGCCUUUAAAAGAAUGGCUUUGAAAACAAAACAGAAGGAACCAUUUUAUUGUUACACAAAACUUCAGUACACUCACUUAUCAGCUGAGAAGCUCUGGUCUUGGCCUCUUCAGAAGACAGCGGUGAAGGACAUCCAGAGGAGAAAGUCCCUUCUGUGCUG